CACUGCCAGAGGAGUCCCACAAUAGGACGAAACGGCCGUCCAGUG
rnacentral:hammerhead_ribozyme from 1 species